AUUAAUGGGACAUAUGAUAUGAAACAACAAUGGUUUUAGCCACUGAAAGAUUCAAGUACUUGAAAGAAAUUGCAUGAUUUCAAAAUGAGCAGUGUGUAGAAGGCCAAUGAAUACCACACAUUACAAAACGAUGAAAUUUUGUGCAGUAAGUAUCUUACCACUGAAAUGAGUAGUUUAUUCUUUCUUUCUUUCUUUUCUGUGCAAGAAUAAAGUUGAUUUCACCAGACAAAAAU
rnacentral:misc_RNA from 1 species